AAUGCUUCAUGUUUUAUGUUUUUUAAAAAUUUUUAAUGAGCAUUUAAUCAUGAGUCAAGUCUGGAUAGCGUUUUCUCUCCAUAAUUUUCCCUCCUGAAGCGGUUCCUGCCAGUUUUUGGUGGUUUUUAUUUUGCUUUUAUUCCCCACUUUCUCUCUUAGGUAUCUACUGAUAAUGCAGUAUAAAACAAUUUUGGACCUGUCCUCCUAGCUGCUGAAACUGCAGAACAGCGUGCUUGGCGUGCUGAGGUGGAAGCUGAAACCUUGUCCCUGGGGUAGCGAGGCCAUGCAGAAGGUCACAAAUGGCUGACAGUGCCGAGCUGAUUCCAGACUCUGUGCAUCCCCUGGAAUGGAUCUCGUUGCUGCCCUUUCUGCUGGGGACUGUGCAGGGGAGACAGAAAUGCUGCUGCCGAGAGAUGCAGAGAAGGAUGUGACAGCAUCACUUAGAAGAAACAGCAGCAGCACCAGAGAUGGAAAGUCUGGACGUGGCCAACACUGAUGGAGCAGUGGUGGAAGCAUCAGAAAACCCAGAAGCAGAAGGACUUGCUGAAAUUAUCCAAGCAGCAGAACAAAUAGCAAAAUCUGAAGUGGCCAAGGUGCUGCAGUCAGCAAUAGCUGAGCUCAAGGAGAUGAGGAGGAGCGCGUGGUUAAAGCUAAAGAACAUCACCCAACAGGAGGAGGAGGACUGGGAGAAGAAGAGAGAGAUGAUGUGAGGUGAAGGUUGGUUCAUACCCAAAGUGAGGCUCAUACCCUGAGCAUUUCCCCUUUGUAAGUGCCUACGCUCUUAAAAAUAAAGAUA